rnacentral:rRNA from 1 species
UACGUAGGGGGCAAGCGUUGUUCGGAAUCACUGGGCGUAAAGCGCGCGUAGGCGGAUUGUUAAGUCAGGGGUGAAAUCCCGAGGCUCAACCUCGGAACUGCCUUUGAUACUGGCGAUCUAGAGUCCGGGAGAGGUGAGUGGAACUCCUAGUGUAGAGGUGAAAUUCGUAGAUAUUAGGAAGAACACCAGUGGCGAAGGCGGCUCACUGGCCCGGUACUGACGCUGAUGUGCGAAAGCGUGGGGAGCAAACAGG